CCAGCAACCAUGCUUCUUGUUACAGAGCACUCUUUCUAUUUUGUGUUCUGUUUUUCCUGUUCCUCCAGCGAUGUUCUAACACUCUAUACAGCAAGGUGGGUUUGCUCAGUCACCUCUCUAUCCUGGAACAUCCCUGCACCACAUAAAUUGCCUGUCACAAGAAACAUCAGUGUGAUUCCUGGCCUUUGUCUUUCCAUCACACUCUUCACAUGACUGACAGGACAACCCCAUGCCUCUACUCUCACAGAAUAGCCAUAGCAUGGCCACUUCUCAUUGUCUGCCAGUUCACUGACAGCAGCUUUGUGUUUACUACUAAGUGUCUGGCUCACAGCAGAUGCUCGAUAACUCCAUUUCUAAGAAAUAAAUAUCUCUUCCUGUAACUUCUUCCUGCAAUUCAAACCAGAGAGUAUUUCUCAGGAAUUAUCAGUUGAUUGAGUGGCAAGGUAUGUCUGGACUAUGCAUUUCAUUUGAAUCUAUUAAUAGUUUUAUGGCUAGAAGAGAAAAUGAAACAAAAAUGGAUUUUCAGCUGGGUGGAAAAGUUCAGUCAGUAGAACAAGUGAGGGAACAUUCUGGGGAACAGAUGCAGAGUGUGGGCAGGCUGUCAUUAUGAGUGUGACAGUGUUUACCAGCUGAGCUGACCUUUGUUCUGAUGAAAAUCUUGUAAUUCACUAUCCAAAU
rnacentral:lncRNA from 10 species